AUAGCUUGACACUGAACAUUGAGCCUUGAUGUGUAGGAUAGGUGGGAGGCUUUGAAGUGUGGACGCCAGUCUGCAUGGAGCCGACCUUGAAAUACCACCCUUUAAUGUUUGAUGUUCUAACGUGGACCCGUAAUCCGGGUUGCGGACAGUGUCUGGUGGGUAGUUUGACUGGGGCGGUCUCCUCCUAAAGAGUAACGGAGGAGCACGAAGGUUGGCUAAUCCUGGUCGGACAUCAGGAGGUUAGUGCAAUGGCAUAAGCCAGCUUGACUGCGAGCGUGACGGCGCGAGCAGGUGCGAAAGCAGGUCAUAGUGAUCCGGUGGUUCUGAAUGGAAGGGCCAUCGCUCAACGGAUAAAAGGUACUCCGGGGAUAACAGGCUGAUACCGCCCAAGAGUUCAUAUCGACGGCGGUGUUUGGCACCUCGAUGUCGGCUCAUCACAUCCUGGGGCUGAAGUAGGUCCCAAGGGUAUGGCUGUUCGCCAUUUAAAGUGGUACGCGAGCUGGGUUUAGAACGUCGUGAGACAGUUCGGUCCCUAUCUGCCGUGGGCGCUGGAGAACUGAGGGGGGCUGCUCCUAGUACGAGAGGACCGGAGUGGACGCAUCACUGGUGUUCGGGUUGUCAUGCCAAUGGCACUGCCCGGUAGCUAAAUGCGGAAGAGAUAAGUGCUGAAAGCAUCUAAGCACGAAACUUGCCCCGAGAUGAGUUCUCCCUGAGACUUAGAGUCUCCUGAAGGAACGUUGAAGACGACGACGUUGAUAGGCCGGGUGUGUAAGCGCAGCGAUGCGUUGAGCUAACCGGUACUAAUGAACCGUGAGGCUUAACCUU
rnacentral:rRNA from 1 species